rnacentral:rRNA from 1 species
CGAAGGAUGCAAGCGUUAUCCGGAUUCAUUGGGUUUAAAGGGUGCGUAGGCGGACUGAUAAGUCAGUGGUGAAAUCUCUUUGCUUAACAAAGAAACUGCCAUUGAUACUGUCGGUCUAGAGUAUAGAUGACGUUGGCGGAAUAUGACAUGUAGUGGUGAAAUACUUAGAUAUGUCAUAGAACACCGAUUGCGAAGGCAGCUAACGAAACUAUAACUGACGCUGAGGCACGAAAGUGCGGGGGAUCAAACAGGAUUAGAUACCCUGGUAGUCCGCACCGUAAACGAUGAUUACUCGUUGUUGGCGAUAUGACAGUCAGCGACCAAGCGAAAGCGAUAAGUAAUCCACCUGGGGAGUACGCCGGCAACGGUG